AGCAGCCGCGGUAAUUCCAGCUCCAAUAGCGUAUAUUAAAGUUGUUGCAGUUAAAAAGCUCGUAGUUGAAUUUCGGGGUCAGUAGGUCGGUCGUGCCACUGGUAUGCACUGGUCUCACUGAUUCCUCCUUCUUGAAGAACCGUAAUGUCAUUAACUUGGUGUUGCGGGGAAACAGGACUGUUACCUUGAAAAAAUUAGAGUGUUUAAAGCAGGCCAGCGCCUGAAUACAUUAGCAUGGAAUAAUGAAAUAGGACGUUCGAUCCUAUUUUGUUGGUUUCUAGGAUUGACGUAAUGAUUAAUAGGGAUAGUUGGGGGCAUUAGUAUUCAAUUGUCAGAGGUGAAAUUCUUGGAUUUAUUGAAGACUGACUACUGCGAAAGCAUUUGCCAAGGAUGUUUUCAUUAAUCAAGAACGAAAGUUAGGGGAUCGAAGACGAUCAGAUACCGUCGUAGUCUUAACCAUAAACUACGCCGACUAGGGAUCGGAUGAUGUUAAUUUUAUAAUGACUCAUUCGGCGCCUUA
rnacentral:rRNA from 1 species